rnacentral:misc_RNA from 1 species
GGCAGCGUCAGAUGUGUAUAAGAGACAGGUGAGUCAUCGAAUCUUUGAACGCACCUUGCGGCCGCUGGCACUCCAGCGGCCACGCCCGUUCGAGCGUCAUCUCAACCUUCAGGCUUUUACGCCUGGCUUUGGGCAUCCAGGCUAGCCCUGGUGCCUUAAUCUCAGUGGCGGUAGUGUUCCGUAGGCUCUGCGUAGUUCAUCUCUCGCAGCGGCCCCGGGCGCUCCCUGCCCAUCUCGUCUCGUUUGACCUCGAAUCGGGUGGGAUUACCCGCUGAACUUAAGCAUAUCAAUAAGCGGAGG